rnacentral:rRNA from 1 species
UACGAAGGGGGCUAGCGUUGCUCGGAAUCACUGGGCGUAAAGAGCUCGUAGGCGGUGUGUCACGUCGGCCGUGAAAACCUGCAGCUUAACUGUGGGCGUGCGGUCGAUACGGGCAUCACUGGAGUUCGGCAGGGGAGACUGGAAUUCCUGGUGUAGCGGUGAAAUGCGCAGAUAUCAGGAGGAACACCGGUGGCGAAGGCGGGUCUCUGGGCCGAUACUGACGCUGAGGAGCGAAAGCGUGGGGAGCAAACAGG